AAUUUGAAUUAUGUAGUAAGGGUAACGAACACCCCGGAGUUUUGGGAUUGAAAACCCCAUACCUAGGGGUUCUACCUAGAUUUUAAAACUGGCACAACCCUAAUAACGAAGAAACCGGGGUGCAUGGGACCAAAAAUCGGAACUACUCACUUUCCAACAGAUGUGGGAGAUAUGUGGGAGGAUUUAUAUUAAAGACAUUCAGUAAAACCAGAAAAUAUGAUCGGGAGGGGUGGAGAUCAACGGGAGGAGACAGGGUAAAAUUUAAUGGCCCUGAGAAUAUCUUAAAUCGUCAGAAACGGAUAUAUUUACAAAUCAAAAAUAACUCAAUCAGCCAAUUAUGCCUACUUGGCUUUUGCUGGUCGACCUUCACCAAUUGGGAUCGCCAGAGAGAUCGAUCGAGGAGAUAAGGGGAGGGAGAUGAACGGGAGGAGAUAAGGGGGGGAGAUGAACGGAAGGAAAUUAACGGGAGGAUAUGGGGGAAGAUGAACGGGAGGAAUUAUCCCGUCACCUCUGGAUUUAUUUAGAGAAGUUUAUGUACUUCAGUCUUGGGUUAAUGCUUGAUAAGGUUCUGCUUUCGACGUGAAACUUCCCACCAUGAUGACCCCUUCGUGCAAGGAAUACAUGAUCCCCUCGACGAAAUCGUGCCCCGGAUUUUUUAAUGAUUCCUUCCUUAUCGCUUGACUCGCCUCGUCCAACGAGUUCACCGGGAGAUUUUCCAUGAUGCGAAAAAACUGGUAGCAUUCCACAACUCGCGGAUAUUGGUGGACAACUGGAUUCUUUUUAUAACGGGUGCAACCCCUGUCUCAUUUACCUGUGGGAAG